CUUUACUGCAUGCAUAUGGAUGCCGUAAAUGCCAUCUUAUUUCGUUUAUUUUCCUUCUUUUCUUUUCUUUUCAUUCCUACAAAGCACAGUCGACGUCUUUCCUCUUCCUGCGAUUUUUUCCUGCUCUCUCCAAUUGCCGUUCUCUCCCAAAUUACCACCCUUCAAUCGCCCAUCAACCAUUCAAUCAGCCAUCAGCCGUGAGCCCACUAAUAUACUUGCUUGAAUGUUGCUCUAAUUGAAUUCCAAAAUCCUGUGCUCUUCCUCCCUCUCCAAUUGUGGUUCUCUUUAUUCAGAGAAGGCGAUUGUAAUUCUUUUGUUGUUGAUGACUUCUAGUCCCGAUUCUGCAUCUGUUUUCAGUUUCUGUUUGAAUUUCCUCAAUUAAUUGGUAUUGGUUCCACUUUUUAACAAGCUUCAACUAAGGUAUUCUGUCUCUUACUUUCGAUUGAAUGACUUGUGUGAAUAAUGAAUACACUUAAUUACAUGAUUAUCAUUAUAGAUUGCAGGAAGUUCGUUUAUAUAUCUAGCAUGAAAAAUUGAAACAAUUGAAUUUUCAGAGGGAGAAAGAGAAAAGCCUCCAUUUAGCCCUGGUGGCACCACAUAGGACGUCGUAUAGUCACGUGUUCUUGUGGAGAAUAUAAUUUUUACGAUUUGAUAUUACCGAAUUGGUAUCAAAUUAAAUUAACCUAAAAUUGAAAUUCUUUUACAGAAUCCCUUUUUCAUUUUUCAACUCCCGUGAACCAAUUUUCCAUUAACUGUAGGUUUGAUUCCUGGUGAGCCGGAAAAUUUUUUUCUUUCCGGCGGCUGUUUGGAAAUGGGCUCACUGGAAAAUACGAAUUGGUUGUAUGACUAUGAGGUUGAGGAUAUCCCGAUCCCGUAGGGAAUUUCUUCGCUCCACCAGAUGGGUUUUCUUGGUCAAUUCAAGCUUCGAAUGGUUCAAAUAAUGUGAGGUAGCAGUUGGAAUGUAUUUGUUAUAAUUCUUCUUGUAUUCGCAUGUGUUGUAUCUCCUUAUAAGGUUGUGAACUUCCUUCUUUUUCCAUUUUGAUGGGAUAUUUUUGGGGCAUUUGUUUUUGUAAUUUGAUAUGAUACUUACCCAAUUAGUUAAAGUUCUUGAUUUAGUUGUUUAAUGUUGCAAAUUCGAGCCAAUUAGUUGAAGUUAGAGUCUUUUGGGUUUUUUGGCUUUUGUGUUUUGGGAGAUUUCUUCUUGAAUUUCAUAUUUUGUGUGAAUAUUGAAUACACUAAUCAAGAUGGACUAUAAAUUAUUAGAAUGUUGAUUAG
rnacentral:lncRNA from 1 species